GUGUGCAAAUAAGACUUGGACCAAAACUCGAAUAGGACUCUUAACCUCUUCUAGAAAAGAAAAGAGACCCAUGCCAUCGGCCAGUGAAAAAUGACCACUCACCAAUUUCAACACCCGACCGAGACCCGAUGAUAUAACUCUUAGGCUAAUGCAAAGUUGUUUCUCGACAGCUCUUUCUAGUGCAGAAAAUAGUCUUGGACUUGAACUCCUUCACAAAGAGCAAUGUCGCAGCAAAAGCUGGAUGUGGAAUUAAGUAUUUGACGAAUAAAUCAAUGGCCAUUCGAUCCCCAGCUGAAGCCAUUCAAGUCGAAAUGUUUGCAGUUGGAAGCAGCAUCAUUUUCAUCGUGGGAGUUCAGGUCUAGUUUGGUUGAAAGAAAAUUGUCUUCCUGAUUUGUUCCCUUGAAUCUUCCUUCAGACAAGCCAUUGUUAUCGUUACCUCUCUCUCCAUGGAGUCCAACACUCAUGGACAAAUCGCUGGAGCUUCUUUCCAUAGAAAACAUUCUUCUUUCUGUGUCA